AAACAGACAGUUGGUUAGGGUAUGAAACAGAGUGUUGGUUAGAGUAGGAAACAGACAGUUGGUUAGGGUAGGAAACAGAGAGUUGAUUAGGGUAUGAAACAGAGAGACAAUGGGUUAGGGUAGGAAACAGAGAGACCGUGGGUUAGGGUAGGAAACAGACAGUGAAUUAGAGUAUGAAACAGAGAGACAAUGGGUUAGGGUAGGAAACAGACAGUGAAUUAGAGUAUGAAACAGAGAGACAAUGGGUUAGGGUAGGAAACAGAGAGACAGUGGGUUAGGGUAUGAAACAGAGAGACAAUGGGUUAGGGUAGGAAACAGAGAGACAGUGGGUUAGGAUGUGAAACAGACAGUGAAUUAGAGUAUGAAACAGAGAGACAGUGGGUUAGGGUAUGAAACAGACAGUGAGUUAGGGUAUGAAACAGAGAGACAGUGGGUUAGGGUAUGAAACAGAGAGACAGUGGGUUAGGGUAUGAAACAGAGAGACAGUGGGUUAGUGUAUGAAACAGAGAGACAGUGGGUUAGUGUAUGAAACAGAGAGACAGUGAGUUAGGGUAGGAAACAGAGAGA
ensembl:lncRNA